rnacentral:rRNA from 1 species
UAUGCCUACGGGACGCAGCAGUGAGGAAUAUUGGUCAAUGGGCGAGAGCCUGAACCAGCCAAGUCGCGUGAGGGAAGACGGUCCUAUGGAUUGUAAACCUCUUUUGCCGGGGAGCAAAAAGCGGUACGUGUACCGCAUCGAGAGUACCCGGAGAAAAAGCAUCGGCUAACUCCGUGCCAGCAGCCGCGGUAAUACGGAGGAUGCGAGCGUUAUCCGGCUUUAUUGGGUUUAAAGGGUGCGCAGGCGGCGAGUUCAGUCAGCGGUAAACUUU